CAACAAUUCGUAUAUAGAAAAGAAGUUGUGUGGAUGGAAAUUGAUAAUAAUCGUCCCAGUCAUGCAAUAUAUAUAUAGAUUUUUAUAUUUAUGUAGCUUGAUUAACUAUGAUAAAGUUUUAUAGUUAAAUGAUGUAUGCUAUUUAUACAUUGUUUUGAACAGUAUUUCAUUUAUUUUCAUAUUUCGACUACGGAGAAAAACGUUUGGUGCUCACAUAACUUACCAGAUCUGCGAUACUAAUGACGAGUUUACUUGAAACAAAGAACUAACACCAAUUGAACAUGUUUAGUCUAGACACAGAGUUAACUUUAACGGAACAAGAUCGCUUGAUAUCAACAUCUUUCCUGAUAAUACGUUCAUACAUCAAAGUUUAUUUACACAACACGACAAUAUUGAAAGGUCGUUUCUUCAAGAAAUUGGUAUCAUAAACAGUUGUACAUUGUUUUCUAUAACCUCUAUCAACACAGUAUGACAUGCAUUAUUUCCUUGUGAGAUCUGCUUAUUCAUCUAGCAAAUAAAAUGACAUGUGUUAACCAACUCAAGUGUGCUACGAUAUAUGAAUUAACUUUUACAGAGAGGUUUUUUUAUCCGCACUUAUAUAACAAUGAACUACAGUUAUAAUGAGAUGUUUUCGGAUACCUGCUUUAUUCCGAAUAUACAGACAAAACUAAUUGACUGUCAAAGUAAUAGUUUUACAUUGUUUUAUCUGACUGCCAUUUUGUUUUUUACCAAAGAGUAAUUAUUCAUCAACGUAUUAUAAAUCAUAUUUGUCUAUAAGAUCAGUUGUAAAAAUAUGUGAUUCAUUGGUUACAGCAGCAUUUAGCUUUACAUAAGCACCAUUUAUAUUUAAUUAAAGAUACUAUUAAUGGUUUUUAAAUCGCAUAUUCAAAUUUGGGUGCGUCGGACAUCUGACGGAACACCCGUUAUAGUAGGAGAUAUUAUGGAGAUAAUUGUGCUAAUCGUGAUACAAGCAUGAAAUUUGGUAUAGAGGUUGACUAAACAAUAAUUAAAAAAAAUCAGUUGCUGGCCAUCAAAAAUUUUCAUUUUUUCAAGAUGGCCACCGCUCAUUUUAAAAAUGGCGUCAUAUCCGAUUCGCUACAUUUCGCAAAUCCUUUCAAAGCUUUGCUAUAGGUAUAAUUCAAAGUCCAUUUUGAUAAAACGUAAAUAAUAGUUCCUUAAGUACGAUAAAGCAAUACAUAAAUGACGAAAAAGUGACUUCCGGUUAAAUAAUGGCGGCAAUUACCUUGUACAUUUCGUAAAUCCUUUAAAAGCUGUGUUUUAGGUUUGAUCCAAAGUAAGGUUUGAUAAAACGAAAAUAACAGUUCCUAAAGUACGAUGAAACAAUACAUAAAACACAAAAAAGUUGCAAAAACGUUGAAAACGGCUACAUUUCGUAAGUCCCUUGAAAGCUGUGUUGUAGGUAUAAUCCAAUGCAAGUUUUGAUAUAAGGUAGAUUACUGUUCUUAAAGUACGAUGACACAAUACAUUCACGACCAAAAAGUUACUUCCGGUUCCAAAAUGGCGACAAACACGUUUAAAAUUUCAUUUUUUUUUCAUUUCAUCUAAUUUAAAAGAGAUAUCACUUAAUUUGUUAAGUUCAAAUACCUAGUUUGGUUACAAAAAGGCAGUUUGCAUCCCGUAAUAUUAUCUAACAGUUGCCAACACAAACGCGUACAAGGUAGGCCAGAACGGAAUCGUUUGCAGUCAUCAACAACGCUGGAUUUUUUGCAUCCGCUUUUCAAAAGUUUCUGGUGCAAAUGCAGCCAAAGAAGUUCAUUUUGGUUUUCAACUGUCAGUGUUUUUUUUUCAUUCCAAACCAGUGUUCAUGACUUGGUACAUUGUAUGGGUGCCUGUCGAAUGCACACAUCCGGUUGAGCUCACCUUGAUAUGCUUCUCUUUAGAUGUGAUCCGGAAAACAUCUUGUAGGGGGAAUAGCAUCAUAAGGGCGCUGCUUCCUGACAAAUGAUUCAAAUCGUACUUUGUUAACGAAAAGUGUUGAUGUUGCCGUACAUGAUGCAAGCAAAUGCUUUUAUGAUGUCCAUGUCUCUGUCUUCAUACAAAACUAAAACGAGCAACACCAUCCUUAACAUCUGGAAAUAAUUCCAAUGUCUCACAAGCUGACCUUUUCACUUUCCCACCAAAUGCUAACACAGUGUCACAUUCACAGAAUGCAUGGAAGGAAAUAAUAGCAGUUGCACGAGGACCAAUCACAUUUGAUAUGUCAUAUACAUGAAGCCAUCGAAAGUCUUUAUUCCCUCAAAAACCUAUCCACACGUUGUUCAUAUCUAAUACUGCGAAAGCUGCACUACUAAUCCUACUACAUCUGUAUCGGUACUACUUAAAAUUACUUUUAUCAACCAUUUUCCACAGCAAGCUUAUCAUGGACAAAGAUACGUGUAUCUGCUUGUUCUUGGUUAUAAAGGGAUAUCUGGGAAGUAUCCGUAUUGAAACUACAAAGAACAUUUCACCUUGAGUAACAUAAACAUUUUUGUAAGAAUCUAAAGAAGCAAUUCUGUCGGCAACAAACUUGAAUCAAUCAAUCAUUGUUGUCAUCGUCACUAAGAAACCGACUCCAAAUCCUUGACGUUCUAUUAAAACCAACAACUUUCAGUCUAGCACCAACACCGUGCUUUUUUCGCGGUUCAACCUUUAAAUUAUCAAAUACAAUGUCUUCUCUUCAAUACUUAUCGGUGCAAGAUUUUAUGUGAGACAGUAUGACAUCGAUUGCAUAAUCAUCAAACAGUUUUGCACGUGGUGGUUUGGAAUUGACCAUUGCUGGCCCCCCAAUCGGUAAAUGCGUCAGAAUUUGGAUCAGUUAAUGGCAAAUCGCACAAUGUUUCAAGUAUACCCAUUUGCUGCGAUUUAAUAACUGUUUAAAGUGAAAUUUUGUAGACAAAAACAGAGAAGUAAUUUUGUUUUCAUGGAUAAAGAAAUCUUCCAAGUCAAACUGUUUACUUUGACAAGAAAUGAAAAGUCUAGAAAAGAGAUCGCAAUCACUUUACAUGUUCUUCAGCUUUGGUUUUUGACAUAGCCAUUUCCAGUUUCAUUUUACGGCUACAAUAGGAAGUUUUUCUUUUUUAUCUGGUUAUAGAAAGCAGAUUUUCCUUCGUUUUGCAUUUACUUAAAAAGAUCUUUGAAUUGUUCGGACCCUAUAUCUUGGAGAUUAUAUACAUAUUUCACCUGCCUCCGAGUCAAUCAUUUUCUUAAAAAAAAACUUUUGUACAAAUCUUUCGACUGUUCUAGAAGAAAGUAAAAUCAAAAGAUGGAAAUCGGUCAUCACUUUAGAAAGCCUUUGUCUCUUUUAAAAAAUCCUUUUGUGUUUUCGUAGAGUCUUCAUGAUGUCGUCCAUCUGUUUCAGAAUGUCUAAAACCACUAUUUCGUUCAAAUUCAUCUACCAGUCUACUGACAUCCAUCCAUCCAUCGUCUCAAGGGGAUCUUCGGUGGCACCAACAUCGCCCUUCACAAUUGCAUUAUUCUGUGUUUGUGCCUAAUCAAUCGUGAUAUAAGAAAAAAAACUUGCUGGUUGUACGUACAGUGAAAUUACCAUUGUCACCUUGUUGAUAAUGCUCGUGAAGGGAAGUCAUAUCUCGGAGAUGGGUCCGUAACCGUCAAACAUACUUUUAUAAUCUGGACCAAAAAAAUACGGUAUCAUGCUUGAUAUGGACUGUUUGUGAGUUAUGAUAUCUGACUCAUAAAAUGGGCGUUCCGACGACAGAACAAAAGUUCUUUAUUCACAAUUGAACAACAGAUAUUAAACUGUGUUCGAGAUGACUGUCUUUCCUUGCACCAGUCUAUCAAAAAAUCGAACGACAUAGAGUCAUGAGAUAUAUUUUCUGCUUUAAGCCAUUAAUGGCUAAGGCAAAACAUACGCAGUUAUCUGAUUCGCAUGUCUAGACUUAGGUUCAUUUGAAUAUAUAUAAAAAUAAUAUGACGUUCGAUGUGUAGCAAUGUCGGCUUUAGUGAGGCACAAGUCCAUCCACUUUCAGGCAAUAUAUCCCCAUGAAUUUUAAAACAAGCCAUUUAUGUACUGUCCACUAAAUAAAACGAUAACCUUAUCUUCUCCGUACAAAUCUGGUCAUUCAUACUGAACUUACUUACCUAAUACCAAAAGUGGUUGAUCUGCAGCUAUAAUUGAUGUUUGGCCAGGAUUUUGAAAGAUUAACCACUUUUUUCACCUAUCCAUCGUAUGAUUGAUCUAUUCAACUGAAUGGGCGUGUUUUCAAACAGUGGCAUCAUAGAAGUUACAAUUACUUGAAUAGAAGAGUAUAAUUUUUUAGAGGAAUAAAAUGACGACCACGAUAUGUUUACGAAAUUCAAAUCCUACUCUGUUACAUGAACUAUGAUCUACAUCAGUGUGCCCUGGAAAUAGGUGCAAAUCGCUCUGUAUGUCUAUAAAUAGUUUGCGCAUGCGCAAAAUUGAUAAAAAAGGCAUUUAUUUCAUAACCUUAAAUAAUUUUGUCAAACCAAUUCAUAAUAAAAUUAUAUUUUCGCGCAUGCGCAAACCAUGAAGAGUAAAGUAUUUAUUUCAUUAAAUACGUCAAAUGCAAGGAAUGUCGCCACCAAACCAUAAAAUAUUUUUACUAAAAGAAGGUCAAGGAACACGUUUUGUAGAAAAAUAAGUAUUUUUGAACUCGAAAAAAAUCAUUUUUGAAAAAGGCCGUGGCCAUCUUGAAAAAAUGAUCUUUUUUCAUGGCCAGCAGUUUUUUCUUAAAAAGUAUAUAAUAAUGAUGCUUCGUGCUAAUUUUUAUGCUUGUAUCAUCAUUUGCACAAUUUCAUCGAUUUUGCUUGCUAAUAUCUUCCACUAUUAAAUAAUAAUUGGAAGAUAACAGGCAUCAAGAUCUGUUGAAUGUUACGAAAUCAUAUUCAAAAUUGGGUCUAUUUUUUCUUUAUUGAAUUAGUAGAUGGCUCGUUAUAAUUAAUUACUAUGUCAAGUAUUUUCUUAUAUAUAU
rnacentral:lncRNA from 1 species